UAAUACGGAGGAUCCAAGCGUUAUCCGGAUUUAUUGGGUUUAAAGGGUGCGUAGGCGGAAUAGUAAGUCAGUGGUGAAAUCCUGCAGCUUAACUGUAGAAUUGCCAUUGAUACUGCUAAUCUUGAGUAUAAUUGAAGUGGGCGGAAUGUGUCAUGUAGCGGUGAAAUGCUUAGAUAUGACACAGAACACCGAUUGCGAAGGCAGCUCACUAAACUAUAACUGACGCUGAGGCACGAAAGCGUGGGGAUCAAACAGGAUUAGAUACCCUGGUAGUCCACGCUGUAAACGAUGAUUACUAGAUGUUGGCGAUAUACUGUCAGCGUCCAAGCAAAAGUGUUAAGUAAUCCACCUGGGGAGUACGAUCGCAAGAUUG
rnacentral:rRNA from 1 species